rnacentral:rRNA from 1 species
GACACAGGGAGGUAGUGACAAUAAAUAACAAUGCCGGGCUUUUAUAAGUCUGGCAAUUGGAAUGAGAACAAUUUAAAUCCCUUAUCGAGGAUCAAUUGGAGGGCAAGUCUGGUGCCAGCAGCCGCGGUAAUUCCAGCUCCAAUAGCGUAUACUAAAGUUGUUGCAGUUAAAAAGCUCGUAGUUGAAUUUCUGGUCUCGGACAUCGGUCUGCCUCGAACGAGGUACGUACCAGUUGUCUGAAUCCAUCCUCGGGGAAGACAUGUCUGUCAUUCAGUUGAUGGGCAUGGGAUCCUCGUCAUUUACUGUGAGCAAAAUAGAGUGUUCAAAGCAGGCUUGUGCCGUUGAAUACAUUAGCAUGGAAUAAUAAGAUAGGACCUUGGUCUAUUUUGUUGGUUUGUACUCCAAGGUAAUGGUUAAUAGGAGCAGUUGGG